rnacentral:rRNA from 1 species
AAUGAACGCUGGCGGCAGGCCUAACACAUGCAAGUCGAGCGAGGUAGCAAUACCUAGCGGCGGACGGGUGAGUAACGCGUGGGAACGUACCCUUUGCUUCGGAAUAGCCCCUGGAAACGGGGAGUAAUACCGGAUGAGCCCUACGGGGGAAAGAUUUAUCGGCAAAGGAUCGGCCCGCGUUGGAUUAGGUAGUUGGUGGGGUAAUGGCCUACCAAGCCGACGAUCCAUAGCUGGUUUGAGAGGAUGAUCAGCCACACUGGGACUGAGACACGGCCCAGACUCCUACGGGAGGCAGCAGUGGGGAAUCUUAGACAAUGGGCGCAAGCCUGAUCUAGCCAUGCCGCGUGAUCGAUGAAGGCCUUAGGGUUGUAAAGAUCUUUCGUGGGGGAAGAUAAUGACGGUACCCCAAGAAGAAGCCCCGGCUAACUCCGUGCCAGCAGCCGCGGUAAUACGGAGGGGGCUAGCGUUAUUCGGAAUUACUGGGCGUAAAGCGCACGUAGGCGGAUUGAAAAGUCAGAGGUGAAAUCCCAGAGCUCAACUUUGGAACUGCCUUUGAAACUCUCAGUCUUGAGGUCGAGAGAGGUGAGUGGAAUUCCGAGUGUAGAGGUGAAAUUCGUAGAUAUUCGGAGGAACACCAGUGGCGAAGGCGGCUCACUGGCUCGAUAC